rnacentral:rRNA from 1 species
GUGGGGAAUAUUCCGCAAUGGACGAAAGUCUGACAGAGCAACGCCGCGUGAGUGAUGAAGGUUUUCGGACUGUAAAGCUCUGUUGUUUAGGACGAAAGUGCCUGUUGCAAAUAGUUACAGGUAUUGACGGUACUGAACGAGGAAGCCACGGCUAACUACGUGCCAGCAGCCGCGGUAAUACGUAGGUGGCAAGCGUUGUCCGGAAUUAUUGGGCGUAAAGCGCAUGUAGGCGGGAAUCUAAGUCUGUUGUGAAAAUGCGGGGCUCAACCCCGUAUUGCGAUGGAAACUGGGUUUCUUGAGUGCAGGAGAGGAAAGGGGAAUUCCCAGUGUAGCGGUGAAAUGCGUAGAUAUUGGGAGGAACACCAGUGGCGAAGGCGCCUUUCUGGACUGUGUCUGACGCUGAGAUGCGAAAGCCAGGGUAGCGAACGGGAUUAGAAACCCCAGUAGUCC